GCUGGGUGAGGUGGCUCAUGUCUAUAAUCUCAGCAGCUUGGGAGGCUGAGGCAGGAGGAUCUCAAGUUCAAAGCCAACCUCAGCAAUGGUGAGGCACUGAGCAACUCAGUGAGACCCUGCCUCUA
rnacentral:sRNA from 1 species